rnacentral:lncRNA from 1 species
CCAAUACCUCUGUCCUUUAGAAGCUCACAAACAUGGAUUACAUUAUCAAAACGGAUUGUAGCUGAGACAUAUUAGAAACAUCUACAUUUGUGUCAAAUUUUACAGAAAACUUUUAUGCAAAAUUUAAUUCUCCCAGUUCCACUCACUUUUCCUCUUCAUCAUUUCAUAAAAACUUUCCCAUCUUUCUCUGAAAUUGUCCCUGUCUUUUAUUUCUUCUAGUACAACAAUAUUCCAUUUGUUCAAUCAUUUCCCAAGUGAUGUCAUCUUUUUAAUCUCCAGUUCUCAGCAGUUAGAAAAAAACUGGUAUAAAUGUUUUUGUAUAUAUAAGAUUUAAAAAGUAGUUGUUAAAUAUAUAUAUAUAUAUAUAUAUAUAUAAAUAUACAUACAAUACACACACACACACACACACACACAUAUAUAUUUAGCUACAAUGGAGAAAAAAGAAGAUCCGAGAAGGGAUAGGCUUGCCAAGGGGACAGAUGAGACAAUGUUAUCUGAUGACAGAAAGAACUAAGAGACAUUUUGCCCUGCAAAUGAUUAAUAGGCUAAAUCAGGAUAAAUAAGGUACCAGUAGGGGAGCACUGCUGAUGAAAUCCCACUGGACCAAAUCACUAAAUUCUUAAACUGACAGAUGAGACUGCAAAGCCCUCCACUCUUGAUCCUUAAUAGACUUUGGGACAUGGAGGAAGUGUGGUAGUACUAGAGAAAGACAAAUGUACUGAUUGUCCUUCCCCCCACCCCACCACUCCCCCCCAAAAAGUGAAAGAGAACAAUGUGCAAACCAGAGCCCGGUCACAUUAAUUUCAAUUUUUGGGAAGACUCUAGAACAGAUCACUAAAUCUAGAUCAUUAAAGAUUAUUAUCUUUAAAGAUCAUUAAAGAGAUGGCUAGUGAAUAUUCAGAAAAGGAAAACAUUUCUAGAGAUCUUGCAUGAUGUCACAUCAAAAGUAGGUCAUACCACAGCUAUGACGAGUCUCAGACUCACAUAGACAGUACAGAGAGAUAGAUAAAUAGAUGGAUAGAUGGAUGAAUGGAUGGAUGGAUACCCAAUACCAUGUGAGAGUAGGCUGUGUAGAAAAUGGGGCAGAGGUAGGGGCACUAGCAGAGUCUCUUCUCUCCCAUCAUGGAAAGUCCAAGAAAGUAAGUAAGCUUCUCAACAUGGUCACCAGAGAAGGGGGUGGAGGGACAAAGAGGAACAAAUAAAAUCUUUCCCAAUGACAGACUUCCAGCUGUUUAAGACAGUGAUCAUACUUAUUCUCCUACCACCUCAAGCUUUUAGCUUAUUAGAACAGCACUAAAACACUCUACCCUCUAGUUUUGUUUCUUCCUAUCCAUGCCAAAGGGCAUAAAGAUCAAUCUCUCCCACCACCCUAAGCAGACAGCACCCCCCCUCCAUACACACAUACACACAUCCCUUCUGUUCCUCUCUCUGCAAACCUCUUCUGUUUCCUGCAGCCCAAAGCUGGGGCAGAAGAGUUUGAAGGGAAGCUUGAAAGUACCCUAAAUUGUCCCACGGUGAGCACAGGGGACAGAACACCUGGACCAAGUUCUGCCCUAGCCUUGUGUACUUACUAGAUAUGGGAUCAUGAGUACGACACAAAAUCCCAAAAUCUCCAUAGUUUCCCCUUCUUUUCUUCUUCUUGAAGGAACUGGAGUCAAAUGCCAGAGGCUGGAUUUGAAUUCAGGUUUUCCAGACUCCAGAGCCAGUACUAUCUCCCUGCUUCAGGAAACUGCAAGAUGGGGAUAAUUUCACUACCUCACUGGUUUGUUCUGAGGAAAGUGGUUUGCAAAUCUUCGUGUUACAUAAUGAGUUAAUGUUAUAGAACAUAUGAUUUAGAAAGGAUUUAGAUAUAGAGAUUAUAACCCCUGAGAGCCUAGAUCUCUUGCCAUCUGAGCAUCUGAACCCAAUCCCAGUCCCCAACCUCUUCAGUACCAACUACACGGGGGAGGGGAGGAAGGAAUCAAAUAAUAUCACCUAAAGCACUUUAUGGUUUGAAAAAUACUUUACAUAUAUAAUGUGUGUACAUAUGUAUAUACUAUCCUCAUAUCCUCAAACUUUCUGAAGUUUUAAGCUUAAAACUUUGAGGACAUCCCAUAUUAUUUCAUUUGAUCUUCACAACCACCAUAUGAGGUAGGUGCUAUGAUUAUCUUCAUUUUAUAGAUAAAGAAAUUGAGGUUAACAUAAAGUGAUUUGCCCAGGGUUCAAAUUAGUCAGUGUCUGAGGUAGGAUUCAAAUGUGUCUCCUCGACUCCGGGUCCGUCUCUCUAUUAUAUUUCCGGCUAUUAAACCCCAAAUUUGUGGGGAAGGGGGAUUGGGUGAAUCAAAGAUAUCUCAACCCUCCACACCCAUUGAGUCUCUAUCCCUCUGGACCUAGUCCUGAGUCUUACACAGCCUAGUCUCAGCGCCGACAUCUUAAGGUGAGAAAAUCCAAACAAUUUUCAGUUUAUUAUGGCAAAUAAAUUCUCUUCUUUAUCGUCUCUGAAUCAAUUAAUAUUUGUUAACAUUAACUGUCUGCGCGUCAGGCAGUGGCCAAGGACAAAAGCGAGACAAUUGCUAUUCUCCAGAAGUUCGCGCCUGUGUGCGUUUAUAUGUGUGACCCAGGUAGCAGACGUGGGUUCGCGCACAUGUUCAUACGCACCCACAUGCAAAUGUAUGCACAAUGAGGGUGGUUCUGUCACGUAGAGGUAAGCAUAUGGGUACGUGUCACAAGCACGCACAGCUUCCUUGCCAAGGAGGCCGGGGAGGUCCCGCUGCCGCGGAGCCUGGUGACCGGUACAGGACAGGCCCCGCUCUCUGGUUUAUCGCCGAUAUUCUAUAACCGGUUCUGGUCAUUUAAUCGGGUGGGUGGGGGGGGGGGGGGGAACUGAUGGUGUAGGUUAAACGGGCGCACACUCAAAAGGCACCGACAACUGGGCGGGAGGCCGCUCUUCCUCCUUGCCUGUAUCUCUCCCAGGAAAACGGCAAAAUCCCUGGGAAGCCGAGACGGGGAGCGAGCCCUGAGAACACGGCGCACACAAGGAGACGCACCCACCGGCGCGCGCGGUGUGGGCGGACUCCCGGUAUGACUAGAACGGCAGGGAGUCAGACUCACUGAGCCUCGCUGCGCUCUCCUUCCGGCGCUGCUGGUUCCGCGCUCCACUGAAUGCAGGAUUCGGACUAGCUGCAGCCAUGGAGUUCGUUUUGUUUUUCCGGUGUUCUGCCUCUAGUCGCUCGAGACCAGCCGGGCUUCCCAGGCUCUGGAGUCGCCGGCGACUUGAGCCUCCGUGAGUUUUCUCGCCGCGCAGGACCAGCGAGAGUUGAAUCGGGCCUUUGCCGUGGUGGCUGGCCUUUCUGCAGUAGCGGGAGCCUGGCUUUCGGGAAGUCCACGUGGACCGCAGGUUUGCCUUUUUAUCCUACCGCGUUCUUCGAAUGACCCUUCAUCUACAACGGACUGCUCCUUGGAACUGGACUCUAGCCUGCAUUUGUGAAAGACCACAAAACGCCAAGAAAAAUAAAAUUCAUGCUUGCUAAUGCUUCCCAGGGACUCUUGCCUCUUCUGCAUUGUUAAAAAAGAAUGAACAAGAACAGAUGUUAAGAAGCCUGGUCAUGAAGGAUCAUAUUUAAAAGCAUUGGUUCCUGUUGUAUCACCAUGGUAGACAAGAGGAUUACCUGGGUCUUAAGUCUCCUGUCCUCUGAAAAACCUCAGAGGCUUUGGUUUCUAAGAAAGAAAAGCUUCUGUCUUAGCUGACCUGCUAGUUAUUCACUGCUCCUCACUUUGGACUGAGAUUCUAGGGCUAAAGGAAUAUUUUUAAAGGAACCUGAUUUUAUCUCCCACUUCCAAGAAGUACCUGUUUCCUUAUGGCUUCUAGUACUUAUAGACUUCUGUUACUGCAUGUUCAUUGUUGUUCUUUACCAUCCUUUCUUAGCUUUCUUUACAUUACAUUUCCAUUUGUAAAUUCAGGACCCAAAUACGCUAUCAUAAAUAACAGCUAUUUAUUGGGUCGUUUUCUCUGCCAAUAAACAUUUAAGGCUUUAAUGACUAGAAUCUCCAUCCUAGGAUAAGCCCUGGUAAGCUUGCAUCUGACUUACACUGCUAUUUAUUUCCAUUUGGAAAUGCUUUGGUGGCAACAGUUUUGGAAAAACUGGGCUGCGGACCUUAGUUUGACUUGUGUUUAACAGUAUUAUUUGCUAAAUAAAUUCUAUAAUGCUUAGAAAGCAUCUUUUUGGAAGUUCCUUUGUUCUAUGCACAAAUGGCUCCAAGCUUCUAGGUGGAGAGUUCAUACCAACCCAAGUUAUUUGUGCUUUAUCACAGGUGACAGUGAAUACACUAAUUGGGUAUUUUAUAUGAUGCUGGGAGGAAGGUAGUUGGGGAACAGGAAGAAAAGUAACCAUCAAAGGUCCUAGUACUCCAUAUCUGAGCAUACUUGGAACUAAAUCCUGGAUACUUACUAGAUGUACUGGGGAAAAUACUUCACAAAUAUCAUUCCCAUGUUCACCGCUGUUGACC